UAGGUUAGUCUCACCUUUCUUUUCUUUUUAAAUUGUAUUGAAGAUGAGCAUCUUGAGCUUGUCGAUAGGUAGUUGGUCCUCUAACUGAGACCCAUUAGCGGGGGUCCUUGAUCUUAUAGUGGAUCCUCCUCGGAUGGUUUCAAAGUUGAGGAGGUAUCAAGCUUUGACCUCUUUCAAGUAGCCUUCGUUCUCACUAUCAAGGACUUGGAGGUCAUCUACCUCCAA
rnacentral:lncRNA from 1 species